CGACAUCACGUGACCUAACACAAUCGGCAGAGGUCACUUGAGUUUUUCUACUUCAGUAUAGACAGCGAUCAGGCACCGGAAACCUCUGUUUCUGUCCACUGUUUGUCGCGUACCACCAGACAAAUUUAUUUUUGGCGUCCAAGAACAGGAUCCGCUGCAGGUCGUCUGGACGGUGUGACCCGGGACGAUAGUCCUGAGGACUAGGGUCGCUCAGCCUCCAAACCUCUACAGCUGUUCUGAGUGGGAGGACUGCUCACCCGUCUGGAUCGCCUCUGAUGAGAUCCACAAACUCAAAUUCAAACUCAAAUCUUAACUUGGCUCGGCCGGUGAGAGAGAUUUCUUUAUGUGGUGAUUGAUUUGAUUUGGAAAAAACAAAAGAUUGGAACUUUUAUUUUUAAUUUGGCUGAAAAACUUCAAUUGGUUGAAAAAAAAAUCUUAUUUGGUUGAAACACUAAAUUUGAUUAGGAAAAUUAAUUAGAUCAAAAAAAAAAAAUAAUAUUCCCAAUAAUACAUGAUGUUAAUUAGGUCAAAGUCUGCCCUGGUGGCUGAGACGGUGGUUGCUAAGGGUUGGCUUUUUGUCUGUACUGAGGAUACAGACCAGUGUGCAGAUCUGAGCGCAGUCCACAACGGAAGUGGACAAGAAAAAAGACGGCUUCUGAAAGAUGGAGCGUGUUUGCAGAGGGAAGUUUUCUCGAGAUACGAGGGACCCGGGCCUAGAGGGGCCUGAUGGUGAGAGAUCAUUUCCGCGAAAACUCUGUCGCUUAUCUGAGCGGUUCCCUUUCUAUGGAGACGUUCGUGGAAGAGAAAUUUGAAAAAGUUCCGGCCGAAACACACAAAAAUUUAAGGCAGGAAACUGCUGGGACUCUGAAAGAUGGGUUCAGGGCAAUCUAAUUCGCCACCACCAGGCAGCAGCAUUACAAAAGUAAAAAGUAAAUAUGGUUAUUAGUGCGUUUCUUGUUUUCAUGAGUAGUAAACUAGUUAUGGGUUCAAAAGGAGAAUUGCUUAGUGUAAAAGACAUAUGCACCUUAAAAGAAUAAUUAGAUACAAAAGAUUGAGAUUUGAAAAAGCAAAACUAUCAAAACUAAACCUCUAAAAGAAACAAAAGAGAGAUGAAAGUAACGGAAAGAAAGGAGACAACAACUCUGGGGAAGAAUUGUUUGCACUCUGACACACACACACACACACACACACACACACACACACACACACACACACACACACACACACACACACACACACACACACACACACACACAUCAUGUCAAGAGCAAAUGCUCCCAUUCUUUCUGCUCUUCUGCUCACUGUCCUAAUGUAGAACUGAGCGCGAUGAGGGUAAAUCCGGAUCUGGACUCCUUUCCCACCGUCAGCAGAAGAACCGAAGGAGAAGAAGCGCCUGUCCAACAACCAAAACAGGGUGGAAGCUCUGAUACCACAGCAGCCGGAGGACACAGACCACUGCAUGGAGGCCUCACCGACUCCCACAACGUCUGCAGCCAUCACGUUCUGGGCUCAUCAGACUCACCAUCUACUACAAGCCCUGUACCAGCAUGAAAGGACUGUGUCUGAAGCUUCAGAGGCUGUGAAACUGUCCUACAAGCGUGUGUCUGAUACAGACACCUGCUUAUGACAAUCAGCAAAGGAAAACAAGGACAGAGAAACACCAGCGUGAGCUCCAUCUGAGAAGACGUGCUCUUACACAGACGCUGGUUGAAACAACAGGAAAGGCUUCAGACGUGAUUGGCCCAAUGGAGCUGCAUCCGAGGAUCCAGGAAAGGUCUGUCAUCGCAUUGGAAAAACAACUGUCCCAUCUAUGUCAGGCUUCACCCACUGGCACUCACAUCAGACUGAUGGUUGGGGAAGGAGGAAGGUGACGGUUCCUUUUUACGUGACGUAUAAAACGGUACUGCAAACACACACAAUGAAGAAACAUGCUUACAGCUGAUACACGCUCAAAUUCAUAUUUAUGGUUAUCUGCUUAUUGCAAUGAAGAAUCGCUUUUUGUUUAAAACAAAAAUCCCACAGUGAUUUUAAAAAUUAUGACAAACAGCUAAAUGACAACUGCUGCAUGACUUUACAGUCUGAUGGGUUUAAACUAUUUUAACUUGCAACAAAUUCAGUAAUAACAUCCUUCAUGUUUCUAAAAAGAUUUGUACACCCUAUAGGUUUGUCUGGCCAGACUGUAGGAAAACAAAACUACAGAAGAAAAAAAACAGACUAUAUGAAGACUGAAACAGACUGAAAACAGACUGAAACAGACUAUUAAUGACUAUUAAAGGGAAGACAACUAUUAGAGAGAAGUAAUAAUAAUUACUGUACGUACCAGAAUGUUAAAGAAAAACUUACUCUUUCACUGUCUUGUGCAACAUCUGACAGCAAGACACCUUAACAUUCAUGUUUGCUUUCAAACUUAUGCCCAGUUAAAUUCUUAGGAAGAGAUCUUGUGGUGGAAAUUUUCCAUAAAGAAGCAGAUGAGAGAGUUGUCCUUUUGUGCGAUUUAUUAAAAUAAUAAAGAAAAUAAAAAUAAUGGGGAAAGCAAAUAAAAAGCAUGGAUGUUGAUCGUGCACAUCAACAAACCAAAAACCAGCUGGGGAGAUCAGUGCACACACCACGAAGGUGUGAUGCAAAGAGCCCGCGAUCCUCAAGUUGUCUCUGCCUUUUAACCCCUUUCUCUGGCUCUGGUGGAAUGUCUCUCUGCAGCAAUAGAAUUGCUUGUGUCGCCUUAUCUUGCUGUGAGUAAGAAUGUUUGCUCACUUCUGCAUCAUCAUGUCUUGUUAUCCAAAGGAAGGAUCACCGAGCUUCCAAGACAAGAUGCAUUGGCUUUAACAGCCUUGGGUCUGGUGGGGAGUCAGAUAGGAAGGAGCCAGAGUCCGGGUGUAAAAGACAAACAUAUAUCAUAAAUUAUUAGUGAGUCAAAUGGAACAUCAGAUGUUUAGACUUGAUGUACGACAGGGCACAAGAGAUUAGUUGUUUGUGUAAGAAUGUUCAGUAUUGCACCUAACCAGCACAUGACGAGUGUGUUGGAUAAGAAAUAGCACAAGGCAAAAUUUUUCCAUUACAUUCCCUCCUUUUGAUUACACAUUAAUCAAACACUAAAAUAAUAAAAUUUUUCAAACAUUGCAUUUUGUAGUAACAACCCUUACAAAUGAAACAGUAAGUGUAUUAAGUCAAAAUUCAAAAAUACACCUUCGCAUAAAAUGCAAGUAACUUAGGGGUAAAAGGUUGUGAGCUGUUUUGGUGGGUAGUUAUACAAGAAUAACCUCUGUAAAAGCAUGUGAAAAAAAUAAGCCCAUAAUCAUAUUUGUAUCAGAUUAUAUUUUGUGAUCAGAUAGCCUAAGACCAUCGUCAAAGUCAAGUGAAUUAGAGUUGGGGUUUUUGAACAUAGUGCAUUGUGUCAUUUGAUACGAGAAUGUUGCUGAGGUCGCACGCAUGAUGAGACCUCUAACCAGUGGGAUAACUUUCGGAUCUUUAAUUGUACAUUUGGGUCUAGAAUGAAUAAGAGAAUCAGGGAUUAAACCAGAAUGAUGAUGCAUAUUUCUGCUUGUGUUGUCUUUCAUCUGUAGAUGAAGGAUAAAAAAUUUUUGUAGCAGUGAAUAAAGUGAUUGUGAGCAAAUUAAACACCAAGUAAACUUCAGGAUAUUUAAACUCAGUGUUGUUGUGAAAUUUUCUCAUUCAAAAACAGUGUGUAAAGUUACAUGAAAACAUCAUAUGAUAAAGGAAAUAAUAAGAGUAACAUAAAAUGAAGUCUAACACAACAAGGUUACAAUCGAUGUCUUGUAACAAUCUGCUUCUUCCUGUUGAACAGUAGCAUUAGAUUGUUUCCAACCUGUGUGCUGACGCAUUGACAGUUCACUGGAGUUCUUCAGGUUGUGAUCAGCUGAUCACAGAGACACUUGGGAUUUGUUAUCACCGCCAGGUUUCCUCCCAAUGUUGCCUGAGUCACUGUCACUCCCGUGAUGUGAAGAGUCUACACGUCGUCCAGCGUCGGCAACUCAAGGCUGCUCGUGUGUGUGUUUUUUCAGGAGCGUGUGUGUAGAUGUAUGGUCUGAUAGUGUGAUUCAUCGGCGCAGCUUCAGGCGGCGCUUGGCUCACACCUUUAGCUGAACGGUCAACGCAGCCUCGCCUCAGUGCGUGUGUGAGCACAGUGAGGGUCAUCCUUCUCAGUUCUUUUCGUUAGUGGUGGUUUUCCCCGUGAGAUGUAGAUGGAGGGUCGUCUGUUGCAUCUGGGACCUUCCUGGAUGAAGUGGAUCCAAGGGGCUCUCUCUGCAACUUUCACAGCUGUGUGGGUCGUCAGAAAGACCUGGAAGGGACCUUGCCACCGUUUGGAGGUCUAGUGUUUCCUCCUGAACUCCUUAACGAUCGCCCAGUCUCCUGGUUGGAUGGUGUAAUGGUCCUGUCGCCUGUUUUUACCUGUUGGGAAAUCUGAAUUAUGGGGAAAAGGUGUUUGGGCGGCACGGCUUGUCAUCAGGCCCAAACCAGACUCCAUGGCUACAGGUGGAACCAUUCGUCAUCCAGAAUCUGCGUUCCUGUGAGGUAGAAAAUGUUUAAAGCACAGGGAGAGAGGAAGGAAAGGAUAGAGAGAGUUAGAGAGAGAGAACAAGGAUCAGGAGAGGGAGGGGUUGUUGGGCAGCGACCUUCGCAGCAGCGUCUGCAGCUGCAUGUCGGCAGAAACAAAGUUGUCAAUGAUGUUGUGAGUGGGACAGUUACAAACAGCAUUAGCUGUAGGCAGCAGGACAGCGUCCAGCAAAGCAGAACCUAAUCAUAAUGUGAGAUAGGUUUGCAAUCAGACUUAAAAAGCUUCCUAUGCUUCCACAGAGCGUCUGUGGAGUCUGUGUAGACGGUAAAAGACUCUCCUUCUGCUAGUUUACUAGCUUCAGUCAACGCAAUCAACUCUGCAGCCUGAGCAGAGUAGUGUCUUAGCAAAGCGCCAGACUUCAAGACGGACUCUUGAUAGUAAUGUUCAGCAUGUUGAGCAAGGUGGUGUUGUAUCUAAGCCAUCGGGCUGUGGAAAGAUGUGAUCUAUUCCAAAAGAAUCAAAGACACAGUAUGAGGACAAAAGAACAGAAGUCGUACAACCUGAUUUCUCAUUCACUGUUUGAGUGAAAGGUCGCGUAAGGUCAGAUCAGGAAGACCCAAAGUAGGAGCCCACUGAAGAGCAAGCAUGAGGUCAGUGAACGUUGUUCAGCCUCAGACGUCCACGUGAGAGAAGAAGUGGACGAUGAAGACGUCUGCAUCAGAACCCUGAGUGGGGCCUCAAAGACAGUAAAGUUAAGAAUGAAGUUCCUACAAUAAGAACAAAAACCUAGAAAAGACAUAAGCUGUUUAUACGUGCAUGGUUUAGGCAGGUUUCACAUUGCUUUAACUCUGUUGGGUGAGAUGGAUUUGCCAUCAGCUGUAAUUACAAUGACCCAGAAAAUAACCCUAAUCUGAACUAACUGUAAUUUGGACAGGCUCUCUUUGUGGCCUAUAGCAUCCAAUGUUUCAGUAGCUUAGUGGUGUCUGCAGUAACACCAUCUAUGGCUUCCUUUAAGAGGGUGUUGUUGUUUACAUGGUUUGUGGUCAGAUUUAGGUGUGAUGACCACUGGUUCACAUCCUCUGAUCAAACCUACAUCAUGUCUGUGUGUGAGUCACAGGGAAGAAGGGCUUUCUGUAAGGCUGAGUGUUGGGUCAGAGCGUCCUCUGAAAAAUAAAAAUAAAAAAACAAAAGCAUGUAGUGUGUGUCAUUAGAAUGUGGAGGUACCAAGUUCACUGUUUGCUGCACAUAACAGGCAGAAUAAAAAAAAUUAUAAAGUAUGCAAAGUAGGUAAAUACGUCACAUGGGGUCGGAAGUUGUUCACCAGUCUCCACCCCGUUGACAUCUGUUCACGAAAGGAGCCACGUCCUGUCAUCUGUCUCCAUCAUGUUUUCACAGAGGGACGUGUGGAACUGUAGAAUAAAAAUCUAAAAUCUUUUUGUUCGUUAGUAAAAGAAAUCGCAAGCGCAGACCUUUGUUCAUCCCAAAAGAGGGAAGUUGAGGUCAGUUUGAGUGUGUGUGUGUGUGUGUGUGUGAAAUCAUAACUCUUCAAACCUUUCAUCAGGACCAGAAGACACAUGUGCUAUACAGGACAGGUCAGAUGUGUUUCUGGAGGUCGUAUCACGUGGGGAAACAAGCUGUGAUCCAGCCUGUGUGAGGGCCUCAGUUACAGCCCCCCCUCAGCAGCUAAUGAUAAGAGCACAGCUGAGCUGAAGUUAACACCAACAAAAGAGGGAUAUUUAGAAUGUCUGUAAAUGUGACCUGCACUCCAUCUGGAGUGGAAAUCAAUCAAAUAUCUAAACUACACCAGAUCUCUUCCUAAAAAUUUAACUGGGCACAAGUUUGAAAACAACAAUAAAUCUCAAGGUGUCUUGCUGUCAGAUGUUGCACAAGACAGUGAAAGAAUAAGUUUUUCUUUAAUAGUCUGGUACGUACAGUAAUUAUUAUUACUUCUCUCUAAUAGUCAUCUUCCCUUUAAUAGUCAUUAAUAGUCUGUUUCAGUCAGUUUCAGUCUUCCUAUGGUCUGGUUUUGUUUUUUCUAUAGUCUGUUUUGUUUUCCUACAGUCUGGCCAGACAAACCUAUAGUGUGCAUAAAUAUUUUUAGAAACAUUGAGGAUUUUAGUACUGAAUUUGAAAUAGUUUAAACCCAUCAGACUGUAAAGUCAUGCAGCAGUUGUCAUUUAGCUGUUUGUCAUAAUUUGAAAAUCACUCUGGGAUUUCUUUUGAGCAGAAAGCGAUUCUUCAUUGCGAGCAGAUAAGCAUGAACAUGAAUUUGAGCGUGAAUCAGCUGUAAGCGUGUUUCUUCAUUGCGUUUAUGAAUGUGUGUGUGUAUGUUUGCGGUACCGUCUUGUACGUCACGUGAAAAGGAACCGUCACCUUCCUCCUUCCCCAACCAUCAGUCUCAUGUGAGCGCCAGUGGGUGAAGCCUUUCAAUGGGACAGUUGUUCCUCGAUGACAGACCUUUCCUGGAUCCUCGCAUGCAGCUCUAUUGGGCCAAUCACGUUUGAAGCCUCUCCUGUUGUUUCAACCAGUGUCUGUGUCAGAGCACGUCUUCUCACUCUGCUGUUGCUCUGUCCUUGUUUUCCUUUGCUGAUUGUCAUAAGCAGGUGUCUGUGUCAGACACACACGCUUGUAGUAGCUGGUUCAUCUGAUGAGCUCAGAACGUGAUGGCUGCAGACGUUGUGGGAGUCGGUGAGGUCAUGCUGUGGUCUGUGUCCUCCAGCUGCUGUGGUAUCAGAGCUUCAACCCUGUUCUGGUUGUUGGUCAGGCGCUUCUUCUCCUUCGGUUCUUCUGCUGAUGGUGGGAAAGGAGUCCAGAUCCGGAUUUACCCUCAUCGCACUCAGUUCUGCAUUAGGAUAGAGAGCAGAAACAAUGGGAGCAUUUGCUCUUGACAUGAUAUGUGUGGCAGAGUGCAAACAAUUCUUCCCCAGAGUUGUUAUCUCCUUUUUUUUCUGUUACUCUCAUCUCUCUUUUGUUUCUUUUAGGGGUUUAGUUUUGAUAGUUUUGCUUUUUCAAAUCUCAUCUUUUUGUAUCUAAUUUUUCUUUUUAAGGUGCAUAUGUCUUUUACACAACCGAUUCUCUUUUUGAACCCAUAACCAGUUUCCCACUCAUGGAAACAUGAAACGCACUAAUAACCAUAUUUACUUUUUACUUUCGUAAUGCUGCAGUCUGGUGGUGGAGACUUAGAUCGCCCCGAACCCAUCUCUCAGAGUCCCGGCGGUUUCCUGCCUUAGACUUUUUUGUGUUCCGGCCGGAACCUUUUUUCAAAGUUUCUCUUCCACGGACGUCUCCGUAGAAAGGGAACCGCUCAGAUCAGCGACAGAGUUCUCGGAAGUGCUCCCUCACCGUCAGGCCCCUCUAAGACCCGGGUCCCUCAUAUCUCAAAAACACUUCCCCCUGCAAACGCGCUCCGUAUUUCAGAAGCCGUCUUUUAUUUCUUGUCCACUCCCUUUGGACUGCGCUCAGAUCUGCACACUGGUCUGUAUCCUCAGUACAGACAAAAAAAGCUUGGUUCCACGAGCCAACCCUUAGCAACCACCAUCUCAGCCACCAGGGCAGACUUUGACCUAAUUCAUUUUACCCGAAUAUUAUUAUUUUUUUUUAAAUCAAACAUUUUUGUUUGUUCCUAAUUAUUAUAUUUUAGAUGUUUUGAGCCAACUAGUCGUGUUAGAAAUAUUUUUGUCUCUAGUCCUAAUUAUGUUUUCUUUUGUCGUUGUAUGUUUUAGUCUAGUUGCGGAUGCUUUAGAAUUAAUUGUUAUUUGCCUUACUUUCCCUAAACCAAAUGAUCAGAGCCAAGUAAACCCCGAAUACCUGAAACCAAUUUCAAACCCGUUUUCUUUUCUUUUCUUUUUUUUCUUCGAUAAGUCGCAACAAAACAGAGUCUCUCUCACCGGGCCGAGUAAAGGUUGAAUUUUGUGUUUGUUGGAUCUCGUCAGAGGCGAUCCAGACAGGUGAGCAGUCCUCCCACUCAGAACAGCUGUAGAGAUUUGGAGGCUGAGCGACCCUAGUCCUCAGGACUAUCGUCCCGGGUCACACCGUCCAGACGACCUGCAGCGGAUCCUGUUCGUAGACGCCAAUUUCUGUGGUGGAAAUUUUCCAUAAAGAAGCAGAUGAGAGAGUUGUCCUUUUGUGCGAUUUAUUGAAAUAAUAAAGAAAAUAAAAAUAAUGGGGAAAGCAAGUAAAAAGCAUGGACGUUGAUCGUGCACAUCAACAAACUAAAAACCAGCUGGGGAGAUCAGUGCACACACCACGAAGGUGUGAUGCAAAGAGCCCGCGAUCCUCAAGUUGUCUCUGCCUUUUAACCCCUUUCUCUGGCUCUGGUGGAAUGUCUCUCUGCAGCAAUAGAAUUGCUUGUGUCGCCUUAUCUUGCUGUGAGUGAGAAUGUUUGCUCACUUCUGCAUCAUCAUGUCUUGUUAUCCAAAGGAAGAAACACCGAGCUUCCAAGACAAGAUGCAUUGGCUUUAACAGCCUUGGGUCUGGUGGGGAGUCAGAUAGGAAGGAGCCAGAGUCCGGGUGUAAAAGACAAACAUAUAUCAUAAAUUAUUAGUCAGUCAAAUGGAACAUCAGAUGUUUAGACUUGAUGUACGACAGGGCACAAGAGAUUAGUUGUUUGUGUAAGAAUGUUCAGUAAUGCACCUAACCAGCACAUGACGAGUGUGUUGGAUAAGAAAUAGCACAAGGCAAAAUUUUUCCAUUACAGAUCUGAUGUGUAGUUUAGGUAUUUGAUUGAUUUCCACUCCAGACGCGGUGCAGGUUACAUCUACAGACAUUCUAAAUAAUCCCUCUUUUGUUGGUGUUAACUUCAGCUUAGCUGUACUCUUAUCAUUGGCUGCUGAGGGGGGGGGGCUGUAACUGAGGCCCUCACACAGGCUGCAUCACAGCUUGUUUCCCCAUGUGAUAUGACCUCCAGAGAUGCAACACACACACACACACACACACACACACUGACAAACUGACCUCAACUUCCCUUUUUAGGGAUGAACACAGGUCUGCGCUUGCGAUUUCUUUUACUAACGAACAAAAAGAUUUUAGAUUUUUAUUUUACAGUUCGGCACGUCCCUCUGUGAAACAUGAUGGAGACAGAUGACAGGACGUGGGUCCUUUCGUGAACAGAUGUCAACGGGGUGGAGACUGGUGAACGACUUCUGACCCAAUGUGACGUAUUUACCCACUUUACAUGCUUUUAGAAAACUUUUAUAAUUUUUUUUCUGCCUGCCAUGCGCAACACACAGUGAACUUGGUACCUCCGCAUUCUAAUGAAAUACACUACAUUUUGUUUAUUUUUAUUUUUCAGAGGACGCUCUGACGCAACACUCAGCCUUACAGAAAGCCCCUGCUUCCCUGUGGCUCGCACACAGACAUGAUGUAGGUUUGAUCAGAGGAUGUGAACCAGUGGUCAUUACACCUAAAUCUGACCACAGACCAUGUAAACAACAACACCCUCUGAAAGGAAGCCAUAGAUGGCGUUACUGCAGACACCACUAAGCUACUGAAACAUUGGAUGCAACAGGCCACAAAGAGAGCCUGUCUAAAUUACGGUUAGUUCAGACAAAGGGUCAUUGUAAUUACAGCUGAUGGCAAAUCCAUCUCACCCAACAGAGUUGAAGUAAUUUGAAACCUGCCUAAACCGUGCACGUAUAAACAGCUUAUGUCUUUUCUAGGUCUUUGUUCUUAUUGUAGGAACAUUGUAGGAGGCCCCACUCAGGGUUCUGAUGCAGACGUCUUCAUCGUCCACUUCUUCUCUCACGUGGACGUCUGAGGCUGAACAACGUUCACUGACCUCAUGCUUGCUCCUACUUUGGGUCUUCCUGAUCUGACCUUACACAACCUUUCACUCAACCAGUGGAUGAAAAAUCAGGUUGUACGACUUCUGUUCUUUUGUCCUGUAGUCUAUUUUCCUGCUUCAUCCAGCUGCUGCUGAACGUCCACGGUGUCUAUGAGCAGUGGCUGCAGCAGAGAGAGCCGUUCUGGCAUCAUGUGACAUUGUUGGCUACUCUGACGUCACCUUGUUGGUUCCUCAUACUGUGUCUAUGAUUCUUUUGGAAUAGAAAACAUCACAUCUUUCUACAGCUCGAUGGCUUUGAUACAACACCACCUUGCUCAACAUGCUGAACGUUACUAUCAAGAGGCUGUUUUGAAGUCUGGCGUUUUGCUAAGACAUUACUCUGCUAAGGCUGCAGAGAUGAUCGCGUUGACUGAAGCUAGUAAACCAGCAGAAGGAGAGUCCGUUACCAUCUACACAGACUCCACAGAUGCUUGUCACACCUUGGUGCUCUGUGGAAGCAUAGGAAGCUUUUGAAGUUUGAUUACCAACCUAUCUUACAUCAUGAUAAGUUUGCUGCUUUGCUGGACGUAGUUCUGCUGCCUACAGCUAAUGCUGUUUGGAACUGUCCAACUCACACCAUCAAUGAUGACUUUGUUUCUGCCGACAUGCAGCUGCAGACGCUGCUGCGAAGGUCGCUGCCCGACAACGCCUCCCUCUCCUCACACUCAUUUCCUCUCAUCAACUCUCUCUACCCCCUCCUUCCGCAUCUUCCUGUGCUUUAAAUAUUUUCUACCUCACAGGAACGCAGACUCUGGCAGAUGAAUGGUUCCACCUGUAGCCAUGGAGUCUGGUUUGGGCCUGAUGACAAGCUGUGCCGCCCAAACACUUUUCCCCACAAUUCAGGUUUCCCAACAGGUGAAAACAGGCGACAGGACCACUACACACCAUCCAAACAGGGAACAGGGUGAUUGGAGUUCAGGAGGAAGCACUGGGACGUCAAACGGUGGCAAGGCCCCUUCCAGGUCCCUCUGACGACCCACACGGCUGUGAAGGUCACAGAGAUUAGAGAGCGAUUUGAAUCCACUCCAUCCACUGCAGGAAGGUCCCAGACCCAACAGACGACCCUCUAUCUACACGGAGAAAACAGUGAACAGACACUAAUGAAAAGAACUGAGAAGGACGAAAACUCUUGAUGAGUUAAUACACUCAUUGUUUCAAUUGCAAGGGUCUUUUUAUUAAUACAAAAUGAGAUGUUGACAAUUUUUAUUCUUAGUGUUUGAAUAAUGUGUAAUCAAAAGGGGGAGUGUUAUGGGAAAAAUUGUUUCUUCCUUAUUCUAUGCAGUUAUUAUAUGAUUUAUGACUUAUGUUCUGCAAUUAAUAGCUUAUGUUUUGUCUUACUCUAUGUAUUUGACAUUUCGCCUACAUUGUUCAAUGGUUGCCUCUGCCUGCCUCAACUCUAGCUCCCAAACCCAAGGCCGGGGAGUUGUGUCUCUUUCUGUUGAGACUUGGUGCUCCUUUCUCACAGCUAGUUGGACGUCAGCAAUGCAAGUGUGAGAAUUUAAACAUCUUCACACACACUGUGACAGGGAAGACAGGAUGCAUGUAAUUUGAUUGGGUUAGACAGACAUUCCACCCUAGUCGGACAGAGAGGUUAAAAGGCAGAAACAACUUGAGGAUCGUGGGCUCUUUGCAUCACACCUUCGUGGUGUAUGCACUGCUCUCCCCAGCUGAGUUUUUGGUUUGUUGAUGUGCACGAUUAACAUCCAUGCUGAUUCUGCUGCUUGAUUUGCUUUCCCAAUUAUUUUUAUUUUCCUUUAUUUUUAUAAUAAAUUACACAAAAGACAA